rnacentral:misc_RNA from 1 species
UGGCUCUAGCAUCGAUGAAGAACGCAGCGAAAUGCGAUAAGUAAUGUGAAUUGCAGAAUUCAGUGAAUCAUCGAAUCUUUGAACGCACAUUGCGCCCUUUGGUAUUCCGAAGGGCAUGCCUGCUCGAGCGUCAUUACGCCCCUCAAGCACAGCUUGGUAUUGGGCCUCGCCAGCGAUGGCGGGCUUUAAAAUCAGUGGCGGUGCCGCGUGGCCCUGAGCGUAGUAAAUCUCUCGCUAUAGGUGUUGCGCAGGUGCCCUGCCAGAAGCCUUUCUCUAAGGUUGACCUCGGAUCAGGUAGGGAUACCCGCUGA